rnacentral:snRNA from 1 species
UGGGAGCGUCAAGCUUCGAGGUGUUGUGACGUACAGUCCCGUUCCAUGACGUUGGAUAGCAAGCUUGUCCCCGGCCUCUGGUUGUGUGGACUGCGUCCUGUAUAUUCCUACAUCUUCCCAGAGCCCUUUGGGCCAUUACU